rnacentral:rRNA from 1 species
CAGCAGCCACGGUAAUACGGAGGGUGCAAGCGUUAAUCGGAAUUACUGGGCGUAAAGCGCACGCAGGCGGUCUGACAAGUCAGAUGUGAAAUCCCCGGGCUUAACCUGGGAACUGCAUUUGAAACUGUCAGGCUGGAGUCUUGUAGAGGGGGGUAGAAUUCCAGGUGUAGCGGUGAAAUGCGUAGAGAUCUGGAGGAAUACCGGUGGCGAAGGCGGCCCCCUGGACAAAGACUGACGCUCAGGUGCGAAAGCGUGGGGAGCAAACAGGAUUAGAUACCCGCGUAGUCCCUGUCUCUUAUAC